GAGGCUGCUGCCAGUGGUCAAAGCCUCCACAACUGCUCUGCUUAAUGGGUGUAACCUCACGGUGAAAUGCUGUGAAGCCUUGGCCUCAGCUUUCAACUCAACCUCCUCAAACCUAAGAGAGCUGGACCUGAGUGACAACAACCUGCAGGAUUCAGGAGUGGAGCUGCUCUGUGCUGGACUGGAGAAUCCACACUGCAAACUGCAGACACUGAGGUUGUCACGCUGUCUGGUCACAAAGAAAGGCUGUGCUUCUCUGGCCUCAGCUCUGAGGUCAAACCCCUCCAACCCGAGAGAGCUGGACCUGAGCUACAAUAUCCCAGGAGAGUCCGGAGCGAAGCAGCUCUCUGUUGGACUGGAGGAUCCACACUAGAGAUUGGAGAAACUCAAUGUGGACCACUGUGGAGAGUACUGGCAGCUGAAAAAAUGUAAUGUUGACUGCUGUGAAGAAAUGUGAAAUGUGUUAUUAGGGAUGAAACAGGAAAUAGCAUAACCUCACUAAGAGUCAUUGUCAAGUUACUCAACUGGUCAAAUUAAAUAUAAGCUACCAUUUUAAGGAAGUAGAAUCAGACACUAUUCCCACUGGGCACUGGGCACAGACAUCAGUUCAACGUCUUGUUUGAUUUACAUUUGGUUGAGCUACUAACCUGAAUUCAAACUGAAUUCAACAAAAAAUGUCACCCUGUCAUUGGAUUUAGGUUAAAAGUUAGGUGAAAAAAUACAAACUUCCCUUACGUCGAUGACUUUUUGCAAAUCCAAACUGUUUUCCACAUUGAUUCAAUGUCAUCACAGACAUUUGUUUUUUUUAUGACAUGGAAACAAUGUUGAUUCAACCAGUUUUUGCCCAGUGGAAUGUACUGUAUAAGCUUGAAUACAAAGGUCAUAUAAAGUUUAGAAUUUAGAUUAAAAGACGAUAAAUGAAACACAAAAAAACAUAUUAUUUGCAAGUAUUCUCUUUUAUUUUUAU